UUUCCCUACGGGACGCAGCAGUGGGGGAUAUUGCACAAUGGGGGGAACCCUGAUGCAGCGACGCCGCGUGGGUGAAGAAGUAUUUCGGUAUGUAAAGCCCUAUCGGCAGGGAAGAAAUUGGACGGUACCUGACUAAGAAGCCCUGGCUAACUACGUGCCAGCAGCCGUGGUAAUACGUAGGGGGCAAGCGUUAUCCGGAUUCACUGGGUGUAAAGGGAGCGUAGACGGCCAUGCAAGGCCGGAGUGAAAGCCCGGGGCUCAACCCUGGGACUGCUCUGGAAACUGUAAAGCUGGAGUGCGGGAGG
rnacentral:rRNA from 1 species